rnacentral:rRNA from 1 species
UACGGGGGGAGCAAGCGUUGUUCGGAUUUACUGGGCGUAAAGGGCGGGUAGGCGGCCACCGCAAGUCAGUUGUGAAAUCUCCGAGCUUAACUCGGAAAGGUCAACUGAUACUGCGGGGCUAGAGUGCGGAAGGGGCAACUGGAAUUCUUGGUGUAGCGGUGAAAUGCGUAGAUAUCAAGAGGAACACCUGCGGCGAAGGCGGGUUGCUGGGCCGACACUGACGCUGAGGCGCGAAAGCUAGGGGAGCAAACAGG